GACGAACGCUGGCGGCGUGCCUAAUACAUGCAAGUCGACCUUAGUGACGAACGGGUGAGUAAAAAGUGGGUAACCUGCCCAUCAGAAGGGGAUAACAAUUGGAUACAGGUGCUAAUACCGUAUACUGAUGGAUGGACCCGCGGUGCAUUAGCUAGUUGGUGAGGUAACGGACCACCAAGGCCACGAUGCAUAGCCGACCUGAGAGAGUGAUGGGCAACAUUGGGACUGAGACACGGCCCAAACUCCUACGGGAGGCAGCAGUAGGGAAUCUUCGGCAAUGGACGAAAGUCUGACCGAGCAACGCCGCGUGAGUGAAGAAGGUUUUCGGAUCGUAAAACUCUGUUGGUAGAGAAGCGGUAGCUAACCAGAAAGCCACGGCUAACUACGUGCCAGCAGCCGCGGUAAUAC
rnacentral:rRNA from 1 species